CGACGUGAGGAACCUGCCUUGGAGAGGGGAAUAACACUCCGAAAGGAGUGCUAAUACCGCGUGAUGCAGUUGGGUCGCAUGGCUCUGACUGCCAAAGAUUUAUCGCUCUGAGAUGGCCUCGCGUCUGAUUAGCUAGUAGGCGGGGUAACGGCCCACCUAGGCGACGAUCAGUAGCCGGACUGAGAGGUUGACCGGCCACAUUGGGACUGAGACACGGCCCAG
rnacentral:rRNA from 1 species